rnacentral:SRP_RNA from 1 species
CUGCACAUUGUCUACUUUCAAUCAGAGGCUGUGCUGCCUGCAGCAUUGCGCAAGGCAAGGCAGGCAGCAGACGAGGCAAGGCUGGCAACAGAGAAGGCGGAAACGGCACUACGACUGGCGCA